rnacentral:rRNA from 1 species
GACGAACGCUGGCGGCGUGCUUAACACAUGCAAGUCGAACGGAAAGGCCCCUCCUUUGUGGGGUGCUCGAGUGGCGAACGGGUGAUUAACACGUGAGUAACCUGCCCUUGACUUUGGGAUAACUUCAGGAAACUUGGUCUAAUACCGGAUCGGAGCUCCAGCUGCAUGGUGGGGGUUGGAAAGUUUCGGCGGUUGGGGUUGGACUCGCGGCUUAUCAGCUUGUUGGUGGGGGAGUUGCUUACCAAGGCAUUGACGGGUAGCCGGCCUGAGAGGGUGACCGGCGACAUUGGGACUGAGAGACGGCCCAGACUGCUACGGGAGGCAGCAGUGGGGAGUAUUGCACAAUGGGCGGAAGCCUGAGGCAGCAACGCCGCGUGCGGGAUGACGGCCUUCGGGUUGUAAACCGCUUUCGCCUGUGACGAAGCGUGAGUGACGGUAAUGGGUAAAGAAGCACCGGCUAACUACGUG